rnacentral:rRNA from 1 species
GGGCCCGCACAAGCGGUGGAGCAUGUGGUUUAAUUCGAUGAUACGCGAGGAACCUUACCAGGGCUUAAAUGUAAGUUGCAUUAGUUAGAGAUAGCUAUUUCUUCGGACUACUUACAAGGUGCUGCAUGGUUGUCGUCAGCUCGUGCCGUGAGGUGUCAGGUUAAGUCCUAUAACGAGCGCAACCCCUGUUGUUAGUUGCCAUCGAGUCAUGUCGGGAACUCUAACAAGACUGCCGGUGCAAACCGUGAGGAAGGUGGGGAUGACGUCAAAUCAUCACGGCCCUUACGUCCUGGCUGCACGCAUGCUACAAUGGCAAGUACAACGAGUCGCAAUACCGCGAGGUGGAGCA